rnacentral:snRNA from 1 species
GUGCUUGCUUUGGCAGCACAUAUACUAAAAUUCAAACGAUACAGAGAAGAUUAGUGUGGCCCCCUGUGCAAGGAUGACAUACAAAUUAAUGAAGGAUUCCAAUUAAAA